rnacentral:rRNA from 1 species
GUGGAGUACUAUCCGGGAGACAGACGGUGGGUGCUAAUGUCCAUCGUCAAGAGGGAAACAACCCAGACCGCCAGCUAAGGUCCCCAAAUUACAGUUAAGUGGGAAACGAUGUGGGAAGGCAUAGACAGCUAGGAGGUUGGCUUAGAAGCAGCCACCCUUUAAAGAAAGCGUAAUAGCUCACUAGUCGAGUCGGCCUGCGCGGAAGAUGUAACGGGGCUAAAACUGUAUACCGAAGCUGCGGAUGCGCAUUUAUGCGCGUGGUAGGGGAGCGUUCUGUAAGUCUGCGAAGGUGGGUUGAGAAGCCUGCUGGAGAUAUCAGAAGUGCGAAUGCUGACGUGAGUAACGAUAAGGGGUGUGAAAAACAUCCCCGCCGGAAGACCAAGGGGUUCCAGUCCAACGUUAAUCGGGGCUGGGUGAGUCGACCCCUAAGGCGAGGCUGAAAAGCGUAGUCGAUGGGAAACAGGUUUAAUAUUCCUGUACCUCUUUACAUUGGCGUAGUGGGGGGACGGAGAAGGCUAGGUGUACC